CUUAGCUCUUGUGUGGGCUUGAGAACGGUUGCACCCUUAUGUGUACGGCCGACAGUUUGAACUUGUGACUGAUCAUAAGCCGCUGGAGGCAAUCUACAGCCCGCGCUCAAAACCCUGUGCCCGGGUGGAGAGAUGGGUCUUGCGGCUACAACCAUACAACUUCAAGGUGGUGCAUGUGGCUGGCAAGAAAAACAUCGCGGACUCACUGUCGAGGCUGAUGGGGGAAACAGCCCUCAAGGGAAAACACGCACACGAAGCUGAGGAAUAUGUGCGGUUCGUUGCGGUGAAUGCCACCCCCAGGGCACUGACAGCGAGAGAGGAGGAAGAAGCCUCAAAAACCGACCCGGAGCUGAACGAGGUUAGAGAGGCCAUAAAGACAGGACACUUUGAGAAAUGUAUGCCAUAUGCACCUACUGCAGCUGAACUGUGCGUAAUAGGAUACAUAGUUCUGAGGGGGACGCGCAUUGUGCUUCCCAGCACUCUACGCUCAAGAGCGCUUACGCUGGCGCAUGAAGGACAUUUGGGCAUAGUGGGCACAAAACAGCAUCUCAGAACUAAAGUGUGGUGGCCAGGGAUGGAUAGGGCGGCGGAGAAAUACUGCAAAUCAUGCCACGGGUGUCAGAUCACGUCACGCCCAGACGCACCCGAACCACUCAGACCAACUACACUUCCCGAAGGGCCAUGGCAGGCUCUAGCUGUUGAUUUACCUGGGCCCUUACCAUCAAAACAUUUGAUUCUAGUCGCAGUGGACUAUUACAGCAGGUAUUAUGAAUAUGAAGUUCUUACCUCUACGACAACUGACAAAGUCAUCGACAGCCUCGAGAACAUGUUCAGCCGACAUGGACUUCCAAUGACACUAAGAUCUGACAACGGGCCACAGUUCAAGUCUGACGAGUUUCGUGAUUACUGUGCAGAGAAAGGAAUUGUACAUCUCAAAACAACACCAAAAUGGGCCCAAGCAAACGGCGAAGUCGAGGGCCAGCACAGCUCGCUCAUGAAACGAAUCAGAAUCGCGCAAUCUGCCGGAUUGGAAUGGCAGAAAGAACUCAGGCGAUACGUCACAGUGUAUCGGGGAAUUGCGCACAACACCACAGGAAAAAGUCCAGCCGAACUCUUAUUCAACAGAAAGAUGAGAGGGAAGCUGCCUGAGAUUACACCAACAUUCAUGGACUUUGAACUGCAAGACCGAGAUGGAGAACAAAAAGGACAGUACAAACUUUACGCAAACGAUCGGAGAAAAGCUGAGCACUCUGAUGUGGCUGUGGGAGACACACUGCUGUUAAAACAAGAAAAGGUGGACAAAGUCAGCACAAACUUCAACAAAACACCACACACAGUAAUCCACAAACACGGCAACCAAGUGACUGUAGAAUCACCGGAGGGAGCUCAAUACAGCCGGAACACAACCUACGUGAAAAAGUACAUCACAAGCCAGCACGAACGGGAAGACGCGAGCGCACAAGACUACCCAGCGCAACAGCAGGCCAUGAACUCUCACGACGGUCCAGCUGUGCCAGCUGUGUCCGACGGACAUGCUACACCUGUCUCGAGACCUCAGAGGCAAAGGAAGCCUCCCGAGAGACUGAAAGACUUUGUGACGAUUUAAUACAGUGGC
rnacentral:lncRNA from 1 species